rnacentral:rRNA from 1 species
CAGUCGCCACGGGAAUACGAAGGGCGCAAGCGUUAAUCGGAAUUACUGGGCGUAAAGCGUGCGUAGGCGGUGAGUUAAGUCUGCUGUGAAAUCCCCGGGCUCAACCUGGGAAUGGCAAUGGAUACUGGCAAGCUAGAGUGUGUCAGAGGAUGGUGGAAUUCCCGGUGUAGCGGUGAAAUGCGUAGAGAUCGGGAGGAACAUCAGUGGCGAAGGCGGCCAUCUGGGACAACACUGACGCUGAGGCACGAAAGCGUGGGGAGCAAACAGGAUUAGAUACCCGAGUAGUCCUGUCUCUUAUACC